GGGGGGGNCAAGCGUUGUUCGGAAUUACUGGGCGUAAAGGGCUCGUANGCGGCCAACUAAGUCGGACGUGAAAUCCCCAGGCUCAACCUGGGAACUGCGUCCGAUACUGGAUGGCUUGAAUCCGGGAGAGGGAUGCAGAAUUCCAGGUGUAGCGGUGAAAUGCGUAGAUAUCUGGAGGAAUACCGGUGGCGAAGGCGGCAUCCUGGACCGGCAUUGACGCUGAGGAGCGAAAGCCAGGGGAGCAAACGGGAUUAGAUACCCCGGUAGUCCUGGCCCUAAACGAUGAAUGCUUGGUGUAACGGGUAUCGAUCCCUGUUGUGCCGAAGCUAACGCAUUAAGCAUUCCGCCUGGGGAGUACGGUCGCAAGGCUG
rnacentral:rRNA from 1 species